CGUCCCGCGGGACAACCCGAAAUUAAGUCGGAGGAGGACGAGAGGAAGACGGAGCGCCCGGUGACGUUGAAGUGACGUCAUGGCUGGGCGCGUGGCGCGUCGCGGCGCCGGCCGGCCGGUAGCAGGGGCCGGGGGCCGCGUCCCCCGAAGAUGAUGCCGAUCGCCGAGGUGGAUUUACGGGCGAUCAGCCGCAGUCGCCCUUCGCGCUUUCGGCCGCUCCAAGUUCGCCUCCUCUCCGUGCUUGUGCUUGUGCGUGCCGAGUGAAGCCACCUGUUCCACCCUUGUGCGAGUUAACUGAGUCGGCACCCCUCUCUCCUCCCUCUCACCCUCCACCGCGUGCUAACGUUUCUGUGUUUCUGUUACAACGAGCUGUGUUCCGGACGGGGAUUAUUUCUCACCUGGUUUUACAGAGGUCAGUUGCAUCAUAAGACUGGCUUCCGUAUCCAUUGAUUUGCAUCCCUCACCUUCGUUAUGUGUCGUGUGCCGAAGCUCACUGCUUGAGGCAGCUACCAUCACGUCGCGCCGGUUGCCUACCACCGCAGCUCCCUCUGAGCUCCCGUUUUGCUCCAAAGCGGUGAGAGUAAACCAGAAAAAUUCCUCGCAAACUGGCAUCUUUCGAUGGGAACAAGCUCCCGGACAUCCCGGCCCCCGUCCGAUGGAUUAUCAGACGAACCCAACCUCCCGGUUAGUACCCACUGAGUAUCUAGUGCCAUAUUUUUCCCGCGAUGUGGAAAGAAUCGUAAGUAAGCUUACGAAAAUAUUUGCUCGUAGAUUAGGAAGACAUUAGUUUCGUGAAACACGAUUAAUUAUUGUUCUUCGCCACUUUCCACGUCGGUGUCUGAGCAGUGAUUUACGGCGAAAGUUCGCCGUUCAUUGGUUUAUGGGACCGUUGUUUCGAGACAUCGAUUAUUUGCUUAAUUUGCUUGUUUGUAAACCCGUAUGAAGAAAUAAUAAUGCGUGGGAUGGCAAACUGCGUAAUCAUUAUCACUCCGAAAGUUUUUCCAAAGUAUCAGCUUUGAGACUGUGUUGAGUGCAGAGGUUCCCUCAGAAUGUCUGAAAACUUUUUCCUCUUCCGGAGUUUCAUUGACGCGUAUUGUAAAAACAAGAAGACUUUUUCUUGUUGUGACACAAGGCGUCUUCACGAACCC
rnacentral:lncRNA from 1 species